UACGGGGGGAGCAAGCGUUGUUCGGAUUUACUGGGCGUAAAGGGCGCGUAGGCGGUUUGUCGCGUCUGCUGUGAAAAUCCGAGGCUCAACCUCGGACUUGCAGUGGGUACGGGCAGACUAGAGUGUGGUAGGGGAGACUGGAAUUCCUGGUGUAGCGGUGAAAUGCGCAGAUAUCAGGAGGAACACCGAUGGCGAAGGCAGGUCUCUGGGCCACUACUGACGCUGAGAAGCGAAAGCAUGGGGAGCAAACGGG
rnacentral:rRNA from 1 species